UAUGAGUCUUAGGGAAGUCUGGAUGGGAAACCUGCAAAUAUGCAAAUCUGCAGGUUUUUUUACAUGAAAAAUCUGUUGCACGUUUAUUGAGGCCAGCGUUAUGGCAGGACUGCAGACAGACAGUAUGGCAGCUGUGUGAGCAGGAUGCGUUUUGGUGGUAGAAGUCACCAAAGGGAUGGUGUGCCUAAACUCACAAAAAUCUGCAGCAGCUGGCCAUGGACAAUGAUGCAAUUGCCCUCAUGGCAUGGCCUGCUGCCCUUGGGUAGCAGGACUGAACCUGCUGCUCUGACACCUCCUGCUUCUUCUUUGGGGUUGCUGCCAGAAGCUUAUUUUGUCU
rnacentral:lncRNA from 1 species